rnacentral:rRNA from 1 species
UACGGGGGGGGCCAGCGUUGUUCGGAAUUAUUGGGCGUAAAGGGCGCGUAGGCGGCGUGGUAAGUCAGUUGUGAAAUCCCUCGGCUCAACCGAGGAAUUGCGUCUGAGACUGCCAUGCUUGAGUCCCGGAGAGGGUAGCGGAAUUCCCAGUGUAGCGGUGAAAUGCGUAGAUAUUAGGAAGAACACCAGUGGCGAAGGCGGCUUACUGGUCCGGUACUGACGCUGAGGUGCGAAAGCGUGGGGAGCAAACAGG